CUGCGGAUACAACCAAACACGG
rnacentral:miRNA from 1 species